GUCUAGAGCUAGACCACCCUGAAUGUGCCUGAUUUCAUCUGAUCUUGGAAGCUCAUCAGGGUCAGGUCCGGCUAGUACUUGGACGGGAGACUAUCAACAUACACGUUAACAGUAUGGAUU
rnacentral:rRNA from 1 species